rnacentral:rRNA from 1 species
AAGUCGAGGGGCAGCAUGUUGGUUGCUUGCAACCAAUGAUGGCGACCGGCGCACGGGUGAGUAACGCGUAUCCAACCUGCCCUUCACAGGGGGAUAACCGGGAGAAAUUCCGACUAAUACCGCAUACGUCCUCCGGGGGCAUCCCCGGGGGAUGAAAGAAUUAUCGGUGAAGGAUGGGCAUGCGUGAUAUUAGGUAGUUGGCGGGGCAACGGCCCACCAAGCCCACGAUAUCUAGGGGUUCUGAGAGGAAGGUCCCCACAUUGGUACUGAGACACGGACCAAACUCC